CUCCUGCCUCAGCCUCCCGAGUAGCUGGGACUACAGGCCUGCCCCUCCCACCCCACCUGGGCUGUCUUAGGGAGGAGCGCUAAGGGGCAGAAUUGAGAUAGUGUAGGAGGUGGACUUUGGCUGCCUGACUGUCUUAAGUAAAAGGACCUGCGCUUUGCAGAGCUCUCCUUCGGCUCCAGCACCACCCACGAUGUGUUACGUAUGGGUCCACUGUGCGGAAAGUCAGAAACCCAGAGGAAGAGUUAAGAAACUUACAGCUGUAGCACAGGGUAAUUUUAUGACUGCUGAAUCUAAUAAAAAAAUUGGGGCUUUAUUUUGUAGGUCUAUGGCUCUUAACUUUUUUCUAGUAAUUCAUUUUUACUGCAUUUUACAAAAUUAUCAAUCUGCAAUAGAUUUAAAAUUUUUAAAGAUGGUUCUUGGGCAGUUCCAGAAGCUCACUCUGAAUGCCCAGGUGCAGGUAUCUGCACACACCGGUGGUCUCACCUGGCUGCUGCUUUAAAUGACACCAGACACCAACACCCAGUAUGUGUCACCUCCUCCCUCCAAAAUCUCGUCUAAGACUUCCACUUGGAUGUCUAAACAGUAUCUUAAACUUAAAAUAUCCCAAUUCCAGAGUUUCUUCGCUAAACCUGCUCUACCCAUCGCCUUCCCCACCUCAGCCCUGUGCCUCUAGAAACUACCAUGAACCCUGGGCAGCUGACAUUCCUGUCUCAUGCCUACAGUCCAACCUGCAAUAAAUCCAGGGGCUCUGCUACAGCCAGGUGCAGCCCUCACGCCUCCCGCAUGGCCUCCCCUCUCCUGCUCUCCUGCCCCAUGACCCCCAGUCCACAGCUAAAGCCCUC